AUUGGACGCUGGCGGCAGGCCUAACACAUGCAAGUCGAGCGGAUGAAGGGAGCUUGCUCCUGGAUUCAGCGGCGGACGGGUGAGUAAUGCCUAGGAAUCUGCCUGGUAGUGGGGGAUAACGUCCGGAAACGGGCGCUAAUACCGCAUACGUCCUGAGGGAGAAAGUGGGGGAUCUUCGGACCUCACGCUAUCAGAUGAGCCUAGGUCGGAUUAGCUAGUUGGUGGGGUAAAGGCCUACCAAGGCGACGAUCCGUAACUGGUCUGAGAGGAUGAUCAGUCACACUGGAACUGAGACACGGUCCAGACUCCUACGGGAGGCAGCAGUGGGGAAUAUUGGACAAUGGGCGAAAGCCUGAUCCAGCCAUGCCGCGUGUGUGAAGAAGGUCUUCGGAUUGUAAAGCACUUUAAGUUGGGAGGAAGGGCAGUAAGUUAAUACCUUGCUGUUUUGACGUUACCAACAGAAUAAGCACCGGCUAACUUCAUG
rnacentral:rRNA from 1 species